rnacentral:rRNA from 1 species
CGUGUAGGCGGUCCGCUAAGUCUGAUGUGAAAGCCCGGGGCUCACCCCCGGAAGGGCAUUGGAAACUGACGGACUCGAGUCCCGAAGAGGAGGGUGGAAUUCCUGGUGUAGCGGUGAAAUGCGUAGAUAUCAGGAGGAACACCGGUGGCGAAGGCGGCCCUCUGGACGGUGACUGACGCUGAGACGCGAAAGCGUGGGGAGCAAACA